UUGGAGGGCAAGUCUGGUGCCAGCAGCCGCGGUAAUUCCAGCUCCAAUAGCGUAUAUUAAAGUUGUUGCAGUUAAAAAGCUCGUAGUUGAAUUUCGGGAUUGACACAUCGGUCGUGCCUUAAGGGGUAUGAACUGGUGUAGUCAAUUUCUCACCUUCUGGAGAACCGCGAUGCCCUUAAUUGGGUGUCGCGGGGAACCAGGACCUUUACUUUGAAAAAGUUAGAGUGUUUAAAGCAGGCAUUUUGCUUGAAUACAUUAGCAUGGAAUAAUAAAAUAGGACGGCAUGAUUCUAUUUUGUUGGUUUCUAGGACCACCGUAAUGAUUAAUAGGGAUAGUUGGGGGCAUUAGUAUUCAAUUGUCAGAGGUGAAAUUCUUGGAUUUAUUGAAGACUAACUACUGCGAAAGCAUUUGCCAAGGAUGUUUUCAUUAAUCAAGAACGAAAGUUAGGGGAUCGAAGACGAUCAGAUACCGUCGUAGUCUUAACCAUAAACUAUGCCGACUAGGAAUCAGACGAUGUUAAUUUUUUAAUGACUCGUUUGGCACCUUACGGGAAACCAAAGUGUUUGGGUUC
rnacentral:rRNA from 1 species